UCCCAAAUGGUAUAACAGCUAGCAUUUCUGGUUCCGCCCAGGAGAUCCGGGUUCGAGUACCGAUUUGGAAG
rnacentral:tRNA from 1 species